UACGUAGGGGGCUAGCGUUGUCCGGAUUUACUGGGCGUAAAGAGCGCGUAGGCGGAAGUUUAAGCGUAGCCUGAAAGCCCCCGGCUCAACCGGGGAGGGUGGCCGCGAACUGGACUUCUUGAGGGCGAUAGAGGAGAGCGGAAUUCCUGGUGUAGCAGUGAAAUGCGUAGAUAUCAGGAGGAACACCGAUGGCGAAGGCAGGUCUCUGGGCUGACACUGACGCUCAUGCACGAAAGCGUGGGGAGCAAACAGG
rnacentral:rRNA from 1 species